GGAUCAAUUUAUUGGUCGUGCUAUUGUACGUACUGGUAUUAUUGAUUCCUACCUUCUGACGAACCAUGAUGUCAUUAAUUUGGUGUCAUGGGGAAUCAGGACUGUUACUUUGAAAAAAUUAGAGUGUUCAAAGCAGGCAUGUGCCGGAAUAAUUGCGCUGGGAAUAAUGGAAUAGGACCU
rnacentral:rRNA from 1 species